rnacentral:lncRNA from 8 species
AUGCGUGGUUGUAUAAUGCGUGGUUGUAUCAUGUGUGGUUGUAUAAUGUGUGGUUGUAUAAUUUGUGGUUGUGGUUGUAUAAUGUGUGGUUGUAUAAUGUGUGGUUGUGUAAUGUGUGGUUGUAUAAUGUGUGGUUGUGGUUGUAUAAUGUGUGGUUGUAUAAUUUGUGGUCGUGGUUGUAUAAUGCGUGGUUGUAUAAUGCGUGGUUGUAUCAUGUGUGGUUGUAUCAUGUGUGGUUGUAUAAUUUGUGGUUGUGGUUGUAUAAUGUGUGGUUGUAUAAUGUGUGGUUGUGUAAUGUGUGGUUGUAUAAUGUGUGGUUGUGUAAUUUGUGGUCAUGGUUGUAUAAUGUGUGGUUGUGUAAUGUGUGGUCGUGGUUGUAUAAUGUGUGGUUGUGUAAUGUGUGGUUGUGGUUAUAUAAUGUGUGGUUGUAUAUUGUGUGGUUGUAUAAUGUGUGGUUGUGGUUGUAUAAUGCGUGGUUGUAUAAUGCGUGGUUGUAUAAUGCGUGGUUGUAUAAUUUGUGGUUGUAUAAUGUGUGGUUGUAUAAUGUGUGGUUGUGUAAUUUGUGGUCGUGGUUGUAUAAUGUGUGGUUGUAUAAUGUGUGGUUGUGUAAUUUGUGGUCGUGGUUGUAUAAUGUGUGGUUGUAUAAUGUGUGGUUGUGUAAUUUGUGGUUGUGGUUGUAUAAUGUGUGGUUGUGUAAUUUGUGGUCGUGGUUGUAUAAUGUGUGGUUGUGUAAUGUGUGGUUGUGGUUAUAUAAUGUGUGGUUGUAUAUUGUGUGGUUGUAUAAUGUGUGGAUGUGGUUGUAUAAUGUGUGGUUGUAUAAUGUGUGGUUGUAUAAUGUGUGGAUGUGGUUGUAUAAUGUGUGGUCGUGGUUGUAUAAUGCGUGGUUGUAUAAUGCGUGGUUGUAUAAUGCGUGGUUGUAUAAUUUGUGGUUGUAUAAUGUGUGGUUGUGUAAUGUGUGGUUGUGUAAUUUGUGGUCAUGGUUGUAUAAUGUGUGGUUGUGUAAUGUGUGGUUGUGUAAUGUGUGGUUGUGGUUGUAUAAUGUGUGGUUGUAUAAUGUGUGGUUGUGUAAUGUGUGGUUGUAUAAUUUGUGGUUGUGUAAUUGUGGUUGUAUAA